UGGCGACGUGGAUACGGAAGCUGCAGCUGCUCACGCUGGUGCCGGGGGUGAAGACCCAGUCGGCGUUGGCGUUCCAGCCGCCGUCGCCGUC
rnacentral:tRNA from 1 species